GUUGUAGGCAGUCGUUGGCGGACAAAGGAGGACAAAGAACGAACACAGGAAGGAAGCUUGGGAGCCAGAGACACUGUAUUUCCCAUGGAAAUGCGAAAUGGUGCCAGUCCUUCAGUAGGGACAUUGAGGGAGCCAAACACGGUGCAAGUCCUGUAUGUUCUCUGCCUUCAAUCUUCUAGACCUCUACUGCUGGUGUAUUCUGUUCUUUUGGCACAGACAGUAUUUGGAGAGACUGGCAAAAAAUGACUGAUGAAUAAAACUACAACAACAACAGUUGAGCAGCAUCAGAUCAGCUAACUCAGACGCUGAACUACCAGUAGCUGCUGGAAAUGUGGGACAGAUUUAGCAUUGAAUAACUUCCAGCUGGAUCUUGUCUGGAACUUUCUAGAGUUCAUUUGAACCACAUCUGUACAGUCAACACUAUAAUUCAGAUCUGUCGUAGGGUUCAUGGAGGUCAUAGCCAACAUAAUACAUGCCCCUGUUCCAAGAGUCAUUCCUGCAAACCAGAACCAAACUGAUGGAUAAAGUAUCAGCUAAUUCAUUUGUCCCUUGCUUGAAGCUGCUUCCCAUGGAACUUUUUUACGAAGUCAUUGACUGUCGACAUGGCAUGAUGACGGAAUGCACUGAUCAGACCAAGUUUCUUGCUGUUUCCUGGCAGCCAGUGGAAGAGCUGAGAAUACCAGUGCAAGUCAAGUGUUGAAUUUUCCACAAAAUAGCACAGAUUUCAAGCAUUGUUUCUCUCUGGUCAGAAAAAAAGUUGGAGAAAUAACUUAUCAAUGAUAUAUUCCUGUCAGUUAGUGAUGAUUGAUCACAGACUGAAUGCUACCAUGGGUCUACUGGCAAGCUGGAAAGAUACAAAGAUAAAGAUAAUUUAUUAAACUUACUGAAUAUGACAUUAGAGAAUAUUCAGUUGUGAAAGUGAAAUAGGCAUUAAAAAUAUUAAGAUCAAGUGCAAAUUUGAUGGUUCAUGAUUACUGAAUGUAACAUUAAAGGAUGUUCAAGUGUUGACAGUGAAAUAGACACUAAACAUUAAAGAUCAAGUUGUGGUUCAAGAUGAAAUACUGAAAAGAUCAACACCAGCAUGUUAACAAUAAUGUUACAAUUUAUUUUAUGGCAUUUAGAAUCCUAGCAUUAAUAUGAAUUUCGAUAUUGUACUUGCCAACAUUCUCUAUCUUUGCUCCAUCACGCUCACAUGAGACUUUAAUUGACAAGAUCCUUGUUAGGUAGCUUUCAGUGUAUUCUAACAAUUUUGGCAUAAACACUGCUGUAACAUCAGUUAGUUGAUCAAUGGCAAAAUAACACCAAUUGGCUCAGUUUUGACUCUGUAUGUACACUCACAACCAAGGCACUGAAAACCAAGGCAGUCUUUGUAUUAAAAUUUGAAGUGUUA